AGAAUCCACUCGGUGGAUGCAUGGGCUCGGGAGCCGAAGAAGGGGGUAGCAAGCUACCAAAAUCCCAAGGGAGAUGCAUGCAAUCAUCGAUCUUGGGGUGCCCGAAUGGGAUAUCCUGCUUUGCAUCCCGUAAGGGAGGGGAACACGGGGAAGGGAAGCAUCCUAGUACCCGUAGGAAAAGAAAACAAAAGUGAUUCCCUUAGUAGGGGCGACCGAAAGGGGAAUAGCACAAACUGAAUCCUUUGGAGCAAUCUAAAGGAGAUGUGGGGUUGGGAGAUAGAGCUUUUCCUAAAUUAUUUACCUAGAAUUUUGGUGGAAGUCCAGAGCCGCAGAGGGUGACAGCCCCGUAUGGGUAAUAAUUUAGGAAAUUUCUAUCUUCCAGAGUACUGGCGGUUGAAUUUCCGUCAGGAAUAUGGGAGUUACCAACUCCUAAUGCUAAAUACUCCCCGAGUCCGAUAGCGCAGAGUAGGGCGACCGAAAUGUGAAAAGAACUCUUGAUAGAGGGUGAAAAGACCCUGAGACCGGGUGGAUAUUGUCUGGUAAGGCAGGUUACUUAUUGUACAAUGGAAGAUCCGGUAACGGAUUUGUACAUUGUACAAUAUUAUCCUGUUUUACCGUGAGUUUUGAAGAAUUUGCAGAGGAGUUUACCUGAGUGGCGAGGUUAAGGUUAUUCCGAAGCCGAAGGGAAACCGAAAGCCCGUAGGAUUCCGAGGGGCGCUGUUCCAUAAGAGCAGUAAAGUCACUCAGGUAUGACCGGAAACGGGGCGAUCUAUUCCGAAGCAGGGUGAAGCGGAUUACCGUGGAGGCCCGAAAAGCUGGGGAUGACCUCUCUUAUGACUUCGGAAUAGAGGUGAAAAGCCAAUCGGGCCCUGUUAUGGCCGGUCCCUACCGAAACUGACCUUAGCCAGGCCUCAGAUCGGAUCCUUACAGUGUAGAGCUACGGAUUUUAUAUGGGAUUCCCAUAUAGAGUCCAACUCCGAAGCUGUAAGGUCCUUUAUCUGGGAGCAGGGGAUUGCGGGAAAUCCGCAAUUCCGAGACGGGAACAACCGAGACUAAGGUUAAGGCCCCAAAAUGCCAGCUAAUAGAUUUAGAAGGAGUCUAUUUCCUAAGACACCAGGGAUGUGGGCCCAAUAGUGGCUAUCAUCUAAGGAGUGUGUAACAACUCACCUGGCGAGGAGAUAGGCUCCGCAAACGGACGGGUCUAAGUUGGCUGCCGAGACCUUAGUCCGCUGGACAUUGUCCGGCGUGAGGUAGGUGGGCGUCUCAAUGGCCUAGAAGGGUUUCUGAAAGGAAACCUGGAGCCGUUGAGAAUGAAGAUCUCUGCGGUAGUAAGAAUGAGAUAGGUGAGAAUCCUAUUGGCCGAAGGGGGAAAGGUUUCCCAAGCUAUGAAGAUCAGCUUGGGGUUAGUCGAUCCUAAUCCGAUUCCCGAGAGGGAUUCGGAGAAAGGGAAAGAGGUUAAUAUUCCUCUACCGUUCGGAUAGAUGCGGUGACGCAACUUCUUUUUCCGACCUAGAGGGCUAGGCAGAUAUGAGGGUAGAGUAAAAUCUACCUAUCAUACUAAGGGAGAUAAAGCUGGGGAGUAUCGUCAUGAUGAGAACCAGCUUAAAUCCUGACGGGCCGAAAGGUUCUGCCGAGGCCUUCUAGCAAUGAAAAGGAAAAAGAUGCGAUUCCGAACGAUCGUACCGCAAUCCAGUAUUGGUCCUCUGGGUGAACAGCCUAAGGCCGUGAGGUUAAACCAGUCCAGGGAACUCGGCAAAAUGGUCCCGUAACUUUGGGAUAAGGGAUGCCUGCGGUACAUAGUACUGCAGGUCGCAGUUACAAGGGCGGGCGGACUGUUUAUUAAAGACAUAGCUCCCAGCUAGUCCGAAAGGAUGUGUACUGGGGGUGACGUCUGCUCAGUGUCGGUAUCUGAACCUCCCGUUCAAGGGAGCUAAGGACCGGUAAACGGCGGGGGUAACUCUGACCCUCUUAAGGUAGCGUAAUGCCUUGCCGGUUAAUUGCCGGCUUUGCGAACGACGUAACUAGUCCGCCACUGUCCCGGGCUGGUACCUCCUGAAAAGCCAUCCUGGUGAGAAAGCCAGGGACUUCCGAUGGGUAAAAAAGACCCCGUGAAGCUUAACUGUAGCUUGCUGUUGCCUUGAAAGAUUUGGUGUGUAGUGUAGUGGGGAGCUAUGAAUUCUUGCCGCUAGGUAAGAAAGAUGCGACGAUGAAACACCCACCUCCAAAUCUUUUAAGGCUGACCCGAAAGGGAACAUCAGCAGGUGGACAGUUUGGCUGGGGCGGCACCUUGCCGAAAAGAUAUCGGCAGGGUCCAUAUGGUUAGCUCAAGCGGGUUAGAAAUCCGCUGUAGAGGACAAGGCCAAAAGCUAGCCUGGCUGUAUCCUGACCAUCAAGGGAUACAGGAGGGAAACCUGGGCCUAGCGAACCCCAUACUCCCUUUGGUGGGGGUAUGGGCUGGCGAAAAAGCUACUCCGGGGGUAACAGCGCCGUCGCGGGCGAGAGCCCCUAUUGACCCCGCGGUUUGCGACAUCGAUGUCGUCUCUCUCCAUCCUGGUGGUGCAGAAGCCGCCAAGGGUGGGGGUGCCCACCCAUUAAAGGAGAUCGUGAGAUGGGUUUAGAGCGCCGCGAGGCAGCUCGGUUAUAACUGUCGGAAGUGUCGGCUGUCUGAGGGAAAGGUCCACCUAGUACGAAAGGAACGGUGGAUCGGGGUCUCUAGUUUACGGGUUGUCCGAAAAGGGCAGGCCCGGUAGCCACACCCUGAAGGAUAAGCCCUGAAAGCAUCUAAGGGUGAAGCCUUCCUUGAAAAUAGACAGCCAUUAAGGGCUCGGAUAGAAGAUCCGUUAAGAUAGCAGUGUAAGCUCCGUAAAGGAGUUCAGCUGACUA
rnacentral:rRNA from 1 species